ensembl:snoRNA Gm25169 predicted gene, 25169
CCUGCCCCUAGAGGUAUUGCAGGAGUAGCUACUGUGACACAUGUGUCAGUAGGUGCCAGAGAGGAGAAAGGCUAUUUCUAUGCUCGGUGUCUGGCCUGUAAACAUCUGAAUAAUUAGUAUCAUAACAUU